rnacentral:lncRNA from 1 species
CGGAUCCUGGGCAGGUUGGCUGGGUCGGGCUGCCCGGGCGACGCCGGAGUUGCAGUUGGAGGCUGCGGGAAUACAAAGUGACACUGACUGCCGGGUAACUGUCUCUCAGGACAUUUGUGCUUUGAGUCUCUGCAACUCUGGACCAUCUCUGCAGGCUAAAAGAUGUGCCUGUUGCUAAGAGGAGGAGCCCUGCAGCAGGAAUCCGGUGCCAGCUGACCUGGAACAACCUGAUCUCCAGAAAGCAUCCCUGUUAUACUCAAAUGGGCCUUCCAGAUGAGCCCUGGAUCCAGCCUUUCUUUGACUAUGAACCUAAACGUAAGAAAGAGAAGUUUCUUGACUCCCUAAAAACGAGUCAUAAUGCUUUCUGAAACUGAGUCUCUUCUGCUUCUGGAAACUGAGUCUUAGUGCAAAGAAAUCCCUCUGUAUUUUCUUGAUUUCCAUCUUGAUUCUCUAUUUUAAAGAUAAAAUAGCUGUUGCUUUGUGUCUGUGUAGAGUGUGGCAAAAAGAGAGGAAACAGAAAAAGAUAAAAGGACCAUCUCUCUCACUUUUAAAAUCUCUUUUCCUUAAGGUAUCCUUGAAUAUCUCUCUUCAUUAUGCCCUAAAACAUUUUCCCUGCAAUUGAUGCUAUCCAGCCAGUGUUUUUUUAGUAGCACCUAUAAUUCAAAUGCAUAUAAUCCAGAAUCCAGCCCUAACUUCACACCUGAGUUUCUAGACCAACUAAACAUCCCACAGGUACUUCAGGCUCACUAGAUCCAAGUCUAACUCAUUAUCUUUGUACCAAAACAGUAUUUUUUAAUUAAAAUUUUAAAAAAAAUAAUUAUAAAUAAAAAACACUGGCUCUAUUGGAACUGAGCCUGGCUAAUGACAUUGUCUUUUCCCACUCACCCAAACUAGGCAUUUAAAAAUCAAACUUGACUCCCCCACUCUGACUCUAUGCCAAUUCUAUCAGUCGCUGAGUCACUGUUUGACCCUACUCCAAGCUUUCCAAUCUUCUCAGGAACCAUGCUGAUAUCAAGACUGUGUCCUGUGGAAUAUCUAAUAUAUGUGACACCCGGAGGAGUCAUUUUUUAACACCUCCCUUCUCUAUACAACAAAAUUAUUUUCAAUAAUGGCCAUGAGUAUGAUGAUAAUUAUGUCUUUAUAAUACGUGUAAUUGACAAUAUCAUACAUAAUUAUGGAUUAUAUAUAUACACAAAUAAUGCUCAGAAAAACAAAGCAGUGAAAAUGUUCUAUUAAACUAUGUAUAAUCUUAUAUAUAAUUAUAUAAGUUUCUAAAAUAAAAGGAAAUGCCUACAACUAUUUUUUAUUAAUUUUUAUAUCCACCUAAAUGGCUGAACUUUGAUCCUUUGGUUACAGUCUGAUAUAUUAAUAUUUACGUAAAUGACAGUCCAAUAACUAGGUUUAAAUAAAACUAAAAUGUCUGCAGAAGUAUAGUUUAGGCAAUUACAUUUUAAAUUUUUUUAAAUGAGAUGGACUCUUGCUAUGAUGCGCAGGCUGAUCUCAAACUCCUGAG